rnacentral:rRNA from 1 species
AUUGAACGCUGGCGGCGUGCUUAACACAUGCAAGUCGUGCGGUAACAGGCGUAGCAAUACGUGCUGACGAGCGGCGAACGGGUGCGUAAUACAUGGGAAUCUGCCUUUUAGUGGGGAAUAACCCGGCGAAAGCCGGGCUAAUGCCGCAUAAGAUCUUCGGAUGAAAGCGGGGGAUCGUAAGACCUCGCGCUGAUAGAUGAGCCCAUGCCGGAUUAGCUAGUGGUGAGGUAACGGCUCACCAAGGCGACGAUCCGUAGCUGGUCUGAGAGGACGGCCAGCCACACUGGGACUGAGACACGGCCCAGACUCCUACGGGAGGCAGCAGGUGGGGAAUAUUGGACAAGUGGGGGAAACCCUGAUCCAGCGACGCCGCGUGUGUGAAGAAGGCCU